AAAGGCCCCACUGGAGCCCACUCAGUUCUGCUGCUAAACAAUGUGUCAUCUCAGCAUAGAGUUCUCAGACUGUGCUGUGUCUUGCUCCAAAGUCGCCACAGGAGGGAAGCCAGGUGCAAUUAGUACUCUUGCAGAGUCCUGGCUGCUUGAAAAUGGGCUCUUUGCAUAAGAAAUGAAAAAUGCCUUAUUAUCGGUGGAUGCCUUAUUAUCGGGGAGGUCUUAUUAUCGGGGGGAUGCCUUAUAUUACAACGAGAGGCAAAACUGACCGGAUAUCAUUCUUCUUGGUGAAGACUAUACCUCACAAGGAAUCUUGGUUCCAGAGUGUUUUAAAUUUCUUGUAAAAAAAUAAAUGUAUUGUCAAAGGGGCACAAAAAAAAUUGAGACACGUGA